CAUGAUGUAAUGGAAUUAAGAAUGGGUCAAUGAAAUAUACAGCUCCUUUCUGGAAUGUACCUGUUCUGCUACAACCAUGGAUAUCCUGACGUUUCUGUGUCUUUCAGGGACAAGGGUAAUAGAGGAGUUUCAGACUCCCUCUAAAACAAAACAACAACUGAACAAUAAACAACAGAAAAAGAACACAAAAAAAGACGGCGGUACUCUUUCCCCUUUCCUUGCUUUCUCCUGCUACCAAAACAAACAACAAAAACUACAUUGUCUCAUUGGAUGAUGAAGCUAAAAUUUUGUAGCAAAUCUAUAAAAGAAAAGAAGUGGAAAUCUACUCAAGAGCUACUGUAAAACACUGUAUACAAAACAACCACUUUGAUUCACAUUAAA
rnacentral:lncRNA from 1 species